UACAGAGGUCCCAAGCGUUGUUCGGAUUCACUGGGCGUAAAGGGUGCGUAGGCGGCGGGGAAAGUUCUAGGUGAAAGCCCUCGGCUCAACCGAGGAAGUGCACCCGAAACUGCUGAGCUUGAGUGCCGGAGAGGAUGGCGGAAUACCCCAAGUAGAGGUGAAAUUCGUAGAUAUGGGGUGGAACACCGGUGGCGAAGGCGGCCAUCUGGACGGUAACUGACGCUGAGACGCGAAAGCGUGGGGAGCAAACAGG
rnacentral:rRNA from 1 species